rnacentral:rRNA from 1 species
AGUGAACGUUGGCGGCGUGGAUUAGGCAUGCAAGCCGAGCGAGAACCGUAGCAAUACGGGGACAGCGGCGAAAGGGACAGUAAUAUGUAGGUACCUACCCUCGGGUCCGGGAUAGCUGCGGGAAACUGCAGGUAAUACCGGAUGACAUCUCCGGAUCAAAGGUGUGAUUCUGCCCGGGGAGGGGCCUGCAUCCUAUUAGCUAGUUGGUGGGGUAACGGCUCACCAAGGCGACGAUGGGUAGCGGGUGUGAGAGCAUGGCCCGCGUCAUUGGGGCUGAGACACUGCCCAGACACCUACGGGUGGCUGCAGUCGAGAAUCUUCGGCAAUGGGGGAAACCCUGACCGAGCGACGCCGCGUGCGGGAUGAAGGCCCUCGGGUUGUAAACCGCUGUCGUAGAGGAGGAAAUGCAGGGGGGUUCUCCCCUCUGUUUGACCUAGUCUAGGAGGAAGGACGGGCUAAGUUCGUGCCAGCAGCCGCAGUAA